UCCAGAGAGUGGAUACACACCCUUGUAUCUCACCACAGAGGCAGGGGUUGGUUCUUCAAUCCUUUAUGUGAGACCACUUCAAGCCAAUCUUAGCAUGGAAAGAAUAUCUACUCCUACAUCGUCAGGUGGUCCAACCAUACAGUGCCUGUACUGCAAGCAAUUCAUGAGACAGGCAUCCAUCCCUACACAUGUUGAUGUUUGUUCAAGACAUAAUUCAGACAGUAGGACAGGCAGGCAUGGAAACAACAGACGAAGGGAGCAUAUAGAAGCUGAAAGGACUCAAGAUGGUAUUGGAAGGCACCAGGAAAGAGAGGGCAGACAACAGGAAAGAGAGGGCAGACAACAGGAAAGAGAGGGCAGACAACAGGAAAGAGAGGGCAGACAACAGGAAAGAGAAGACAGACAACAGGAAAGAGAAGACAGACAACAGGAAAGAGAGGACGGACAACAAAAGGAGACAGAAGAUGGGAACACCACUCCAGGGGAAAUGGGAAAUAUCCAAAGGAUUCACUAUCGGAACAGUACAGACAAUGAACAUAGAGACUUGAGGCAGAGACAAAGUGGUAGUUGCACUAGUGAAGAGUGGAAAACUGAGCCAGAUAUUACGAAAGCAGUUGACAUUUACAGACAUCAACUGUUGAAAGCUGCUGAGUCUGAGGAGGAUCUGACAAUCAAACUGAACAUGGGACAUAGUCCAGAGGACCGGGAGAGGGCUAUUCUGCAGUUUUACAAAGCCCCCAACAUAAACUGGGCCCGAAACCUUACUGUGGUUUUACAAGGUAGGUCACUGACCUUUUUGUUUUUAUUGUUAUUGAAUAAAUGACUUUUUUUUCUUUUCUUUUUUUUUUUUUAAUAUAUAAAUGUGUACUUAUUUUGUUUUAGGUGUUGCUGCAUUGGGAGAUGGCGUCAAAAGAUUCUUUUUUUCACAAACAAUAUCAAAACUACAGUUUGGUUUUGAACUGAACAUAGAAGGUCCUGGGAAAACCCUUUUUUUUCUUGGAGAGGAAGAUCACCAGGUGCCAUCGACAUCUAAAAUUCUUCUAGACAGUGGACUCUAUGUGGUUGCUGGACGAAUGAUAGGACACUCAAUCCUGCAUGGCGGCCCAGGAUUGAGUAGUUUGACAAUUUUAGCAUGUUUUUCAUAAUUAACUAACUGAUUUGGUGAGUAAUAUCACAUUUUUAUUCAAUUCACAGCUUGAUGGAGAUGAUGACCUUAGCCAGAGCCAGACGUCAAAAAUUAAUGAUCUCUGCCUUAGCUGGGACUUGCCGUUUGUUAACACUGAGAAUCGAAGGUGGCUUGCAGAG